CGCCUCCUGCCAACCACCAGAGGGCUCUGGUGUUGAUCGAAGCUUUGCUGAGAAAGGGCCAUGUCAAUCUGGCAAGCCAGGGGGCACCACUCCUGGCACAGCUUCAAGACUUGCAGCCGAAGUCAUCCGACCCUGUUCAAGUCAAGGCCAGGAAGAUUUCCCUUAUCAUCCAGAAGCUAAUGGAAGAGCCGGAGAGUUGACUACCGAGCAUGCAAACUACCGGGUGGUCACCUCAGUCUGGCGUGUCGAAGUGAACAUGCUAAUGAAUGAACACAGAAACAUUGAUAAUACAGUAACAGUUUUGGUGUGCCAUGUCCCUUUUCUGUGAAAAAACUUGGCUCCUUCUACCAAGGACACACACAAGGGUUUCUGUGGUGUGUUUUUGAAUAUAACCAACAAUCCCCGUUGAAGAUGACAACCAACAGGUCACAAUAAAGAGGAGGAGAAAGCUUUGAGAUCAGGAGCAGUAUAAUAAAAAACGAAACGGUUGGUCUAUGGCUCUCGUCUGCUACUGCUCAGUGGCCACACAAUUACAUGAUUUUAUAAGUAUGGCUUUCACCUGUUUAUGUGAACAAGUUGUUAUCUUGCAUGAAGAAAACUAUUCAUCUUAGUUAUAGAUGCAUGUCGUGAUGUACCUAUAAUAUCAAAUUUGUUUUUAUUCUUCAUCGACCGCUGUAACAAAAGAUGGUAUUGUAAGGAAAUUAUUCAAGGAGCUGUUUUCUGUAUUAGACACAACUAAUGAAGCCUACGAACAGUUAAGGGGACACUAAAGGCAAAUAAUAAGUCAAUGUUGAUUGCUGAAAUAGCGGUCUAGAAACCUCGUAGUGCUACUUUUGUGCCAAGGAAGUGCCUAUUUUCCAAUAAAAUCCUGUUUUAGUGGUC